rnacentral:rRNA from 1 species
GACGAACGCUGGCGGCGUGCUUAACACAUGCAAGUCGAACGGAAAGGCUCUUCGGGGUACUCGAAUGCCGAACGGGUGAGUAACACGUGGGUGAUCUGCCCUGCACUUUGGGAUAAGCCUGGGAAACUGGGUCUAAUACUGAAUAGGACCACGCGCUUCAUGGUGUGUGGUGGAAAGCUUUUGCGGUGUGGGUUGGGCCCGCGGCCUAUCAGCUUGUUGGUGGGGUAAUGGCCUACCAAGGCGACGACGGGUAGCCGGCCUGAGAGGGUGACCGGCCACACUGGGACUGAGAUACGGCCCAGACUCCUACGGGAGGCAGCAGUGGGGAAUAUUGCACAAUGGGCGCAAGCCUGAUGCAGCGACGCCGCGUGGGGGAUGACGGCCUUCGGGUUGUAAACCUCUUUCAAUAGGGACGAAGCGCAAGUGACGGUACCUAUAGAAGAAGCACCGGCCAACUACGUG